rnacentral:lncRNA from 1 species
GUGAAUUUGAUGUAUCACAUGUCAUUUGAGACUUUUUAUUAUAGAAAAUUUCAAAUACAUAUGACAGUUGAGGGAAGUCCUGUGUACCAGUCACACUGCUUUAAUAAUAAUCCACUCAUAUGCCAUCUAGUUUCAUCUGUACUCUUACAUGUACCGUUUUAAAAAAACUGGAUUAUUUUAAAACAAAUCCAAAAUAUUAUAGCAUCUUAUUUCCAAAAGAGGAGGGCAUGUAAAACAAUACCUAACCCCAAUACUAUUAUCACACUGAAGAAAAGUCUUAAUAUCAUUAAGUAUUCAGUAAAUUACAUCACAUAUAUGUUGACUUGCAUGAAAGCUUUACUAAACCUUGAAAACAAACAAAAUUAUUUUUUGAUAGUUCUGAUGUUUAUGGAAAAUCAAAGUAUUUUUGUGAGACCAUAGCUUCUAGUACUUGGCCAGGUAGUUCAUGAAAUAUAUAUUGACUUUAAUUUGAUUUUUUCUCCUUUCAACUGUGAAACAAAAGUGUCUACUAUUGCUUUUUUUUUCCUGUUUCAAUUGCCCUGUUUAAUGUGUAAAAUCCUGCUUCAUAUAAUUAUAAUACCAUAGGACACCUUACACUCAUUAUUAAAAGUAUAAAUAAUAUUACAUUAACUGUUUUUUCUGUUAUUUAUUUUAAGAACUUCUUCACACCACUAUGAACACUGUCAAUUUCAUUUGAAUGCUACAUAUUUUCCAUCAUUUACUUCUCUGACAACUUUCUUCCAGUGUAUUCUACCUUCCUGACUAUUGAGAUUCUAUGUCUUUUUUUUUAUUACUUUGAAUAGAAUGGUCUGAAGAAAACUUACUUCUUUAACAAAAAUGACAUAUUAUUAUACCUCAAGUUUUGGAAAGAAGCUGACUUGCGAAAUGACAUGACAGGUAUGCUGAACUAAAAGUCACCCACUCUUUCAUACAGUCACAGUAUGCUUGUGUGAUACCCCAGAGACAAGAUGCUCUAAAUAUUAGCACAGUGCACAGUGGCAACUACAAAGGAAAAUUAAUCUGGGGAGCCUCUAUAUCAGUUCCCUGAAUUUCUCAAUUUCUGUUUCUCUUAUUUGCAGUUCAAGCUUUUCACUAGAACGAACCAAUGUAAAAUGUGUUAACUGGGAUAAUGUAAUAAAAGUUUUUGGUAAGAAUGGAUAGAAGGAGAUGGGAAAGAAGGAUCCACAUUAAUUGAUUUCCUAGCAUAUGUCAGGCAAUGUAAUUUUGUCAUGUCAUUGAAUUUUUAAUACAACCCUAGGAAGAAGGCAUUAUCUCUGUUUUAAGACUGUAGAAACUGAGAUUAGAUUAAGUUACUUUCCUUUUCUUUUUCUUUUUUUUAAAUUUUUUUAUUAUUAUUACAUUUCAAGUUUUAGUGUACAUGUGCACAAUGUGCAGGUUUGUUACAUAUAUAUAUAUAUAUAUAUGUGCCAUGUUGGUGUGCUGCACCCAUUAACUCGUCAUUUAACAUUAGGUAUAUCUCCUAAUGCUAUCCUUCCCCCCUCACCCCACCCGAAAACAGGCCCUGGAUUGUGAUGUUCCCCUUCCUGUGUCCCUGUGUUCCAUUGUUCAAUUCCCACCUAUGAGUGAGAACAUGCGGUGUUUGGUUUCUUUGUCCUGGCGAUAGUUUCCUGAGAAUGAUGGUUUCCAGUUUCAUCCAUGUCCCUACAAAGGACAUGAACUCAUCCUUUUUUAUGGCUGCAUAGUAUUCCAUGGUGUAUAUGUGCCACAUUUUCUUAAUCCAUUUUAUCAUUAUUGGACAUUUGGGUUGGUUCCAAGUCUUUGUUAUUGUGAAUAGUGCCGCAAUAAACAUAUGUGUGCAUGUGUCUUUAUAGCAGCAUGAUUUAUAAUCCUUUGGGUAUAUACCCAGUAAUGGGAUGG